rnacentral:rRNA from 1 species
UAAUACAGAGGGUGCAAACGUUGCUCGGAUUUACUGGGCGUAAAGCGCGUGUAGGCGGACUCGCAAGUCGGUUGUGAAAUCCCUGGGCUUAACCUAGGAACUGCAUCCGAAACUGCUUGUCUUGAGUAAUGGAGAGGGUGGCGGAAUUCCCGGUGUAGAGGUGAAAUUCGUAGAUAUCGGGAGGAACAUCAGUGGCGAAGGCGGCCACCUGGACAUUUACUGACGCUGAGACGCGAAAGCGUGGGGAGCAAACAGGAUUAGAUACCCUGGUAGUCCACGCCGUAAACGAUGAGAACUAGGUGCAGCGGAUAUUGACCUCUGCUGUGCCGUAGCUAACGCGUUAAGUUCUCCGCCUGGGGAGUACGGCCGCAAGGCUA